GAUGAACGCUAGCGACAGGCUUAACACAUGCAAGUCGAGGGGCAGCAGGGGAGUAGCAAUACUCCCGCUGGCGACCGGCGCACGGGUGAGUAACACGUAUGCAACCUGCCCUUGUCAGGGGGAUAAGCGGAAGAAAUUCCGUCUAAUACCGCAUAACGCUGCGGGGAGACAUCUCCCUGCAGCCAAAGAUUUAUCGGACAAGGAUGGGCAUGCGGCGCAUUAGCUUGUUGGCGGGGUAACGGCCCACCAAGGCGACGAUGCGUAGGGGUUCUGAGAGGAAGGUCCCCCACACUGGUACUGAGACACGGACCAGACUCCUACGGGAGGCAGCAGUGAGGAAUAUUGGUCAAUGGCCGGGAGGCUGAACCAGCCAAGUCGCGUGAGGGAAGACGGUCCUAUGGAUUGUAAACCUCUUUUGUCAGGGAACAAAAACUGCCACGCGUGGCAGGAUGAGAGUACCUGAAGAAAAAGCAUCGGCUAACUCCGUGCCAGCAGCCGCGGUAAUACGGAGGAUGCGAGCGUUAUCCGGAUUUAUUGGGUUUAAAGGGUGCGUAGGCGGACAGUUAAGUCAGCGGUAAAAUUGAGAGGCUCAACCUCUUCCCGCCGUUGAAACUGAUUGUCUUGAGUGGGCGAGAAGUAUGCGGAAUGCGUGGUGUAGCGGUGAAAUGCAUAGAUAUCACGCAGAACUCCGAUUGCGAAGGCAGCAUACCGGCGCCCAACUGACGCUGAAGCACGAAAGCGUGGGUAUCGAACAGGAUUAGAUACCCUGGUAGUCCACGCAGUAAACGAUGAAUACUAAUUGUUCGGGUCGAGUGAGAUCUGAGUGAUACAGCGAAAGCGUUAAGUAUUCCACCUGGGGAGUACGCCGGCAACGGUGAAACUCAAAGGAAUUGACGGGGGCCCGCACAAGCGGAGGAACAUGUGGUUUAAUUCGAUGAUACGCGAGGAACCUUACCCGGGCUCAAACGACACAGGAAUGAUCUGAGAAAUCAGGCAGUCCUUCGGGACCUGUGUCGAGGUGCUGCAUGGUUGUCGUCAGCUCGUGCCGUGAGGUGUCGGCUUAAGUGCCAUAACGAGCGCAACCCCCAUCGACAGUUGCCAGCAGGUCAAGCUGGGCACUCUGUCGAGACUGCCGGCGCAAGCUGUGAGGAAGGCGGGGAUGACGUCAAAUCAGCACGGCCCUUACGUCCGGGGCGACACACGUGUUACAAUGGCAGGUACAGCGGGAAGCCACCUGGCGACAGGGAGCGGAACCCGAAAGCCUGUCUCAGUUCGGAUUGGAGUCUGCAACUCGACUCCAUGAAGCUGGAUUCGCUAGUAAUCGCGCAUCAGCCACGGCGCGGUGAAUACGUUCCCGGGCCU
rnacentral:rRNA from 1 species